rnacentral:rRNA from 1 species
GACGAACGCUGGCGGCGUGCUUAACACAUGCAAGUCGAACGGAAAGGCCCUGCUUUUGUGGGGUGCUCGAGUGGCGAACGGGUGAGUAACACGUGAGUAACCUGCCCUUGACUUUGGGAUAACUUCAGGAAACUGGGGCUAAUACCGGAUAGGAGCUCCUGCUGCAUGGUGGGGGUUGGAAAGUUUCGGCGGUUGGGGAUGGACUCGCGGCUUAUCAGCUUGUUGGUGGGGUAGUGGCUUACCAAGGCUUUGACGGGUAGCCGGCCUGAGAGGGUGAACGGCCGCGCGGGGAGAGAGAGCUGCGACGGACACGAGGGGGGGGGAGGUGUGGGGAAGGAUGGACGGGGGGGGGACGCCUGAGGCGUGCAGCGGGGGUGCGGGCGGUGGUCCGGGGGGUGAUCAGCCGCUCGCGGGUGUGAGGGAGCGUGAGUGCGGUGAAGGGAUAAAGAAGCAGCGGCUAACGACGCGCGAGCGGUGCGAAAUAAUAGGAGGAGCACACGUCUGCCG